rfam:Otolemur garnettii contig158932, whole genome shotgun sequence.
CUGCUGGGAGGGCGACAUUGCAGGCCCUGGGCAGCAGGAGAGCUUGCUGAAGCCCACCUUUCUGCCAGCAGUGCCUUGAUGGCUUUCCAGAUCUGCCCUCUUUGUGGGGUCCCUGCGUCAGCACUGUGGCCCCAGACAAUAAUGGU